GAAAAGUUACAAAAUGGCUGCUAGGACGGAAAGGCACCAGUGGACGAUUUUAAAGGCUGUAGCUUGGAGACGUUAACCUGUUGUUUAAACUGUGAUGAUGAAUUCAGUCAUUACUUGACUGAGAACAUGCUCCUUGAAUCCUGCUCAGUUUCAGUUUGGAGACUACAGCAUACUUUGAAGAAAGGACUUGCUUUAACUCACACUGCCAAAGAGCACAGAAAGGGACAGGCAAUUCUGCUGCGCACUUCACACCUUACUGCAAAAGCCCUUGUAGUUCUACAACGGGAAACGUGAUUUUUGCAGAAUUUUUGCCCAGAGCCUAAUAGUUGCAACAGAUGCUUUCCUCAGUUUGGGUUACAGAUUUAUAUACAUAAUAUAAAAAAACUACGCAGAUUAGAGAGUUUAUUGCUUUAAUCCUGAAGUGUGUGAAGAAAGACAGGUAGCCAGCCGGUGAAAAAAAGUCAUAGCUCUAUUUUAUUCUUAGUUCAUGAGAUUUUUGAAUAAUUUAAACAAAUUGACCUAACAGAAAUAUCUUUCAUUUACAAUCUUUGGUUUUCCUCCUAGGAACUAGUUCUUAUUGCAAGAACUGAGGUGGUCAAGAGGUGUUACCAAAAGGAGAGGCAGAGGGCAGAAAAAAGAAGAGGAGCAAGGGACUCAAGCGAGCAAGUGAGGUAGUUAAAUAGGAUUACCAAGAGGGUGGUGCUGUUUUUCACCAGCCAUGAGGGUCCUCUUGCUUUGUGUCUGCAUGAUGCUAUUGACUGUAUCCCAAUCCCUGGCUGUCAGCUUUCCUGAAGAUGAGGACCCUAUUAAUGUUGUUGACUACCAUUAUUCAAGGCAAUAUCCAGUAUUUAGAGGACGCCCUUCAGGCAAUGAAUCUCAACACAGGCUGGACUUUCAACUGAUGUUGAAGAUUCGAGACACACUUUAUAUCGCUGGCAGAGAUCAAGUUUAUACUGUAAACUUAAAUGAAGUUCCAAAAGCAGAAGUUACUCCAAGCAAGAAAUUGACAUGGAGAUCCAGGCAGCAGGACAGAGAGAACUGUGCCAUGAAAGGCAAACACAAAGAUGAAUGCCAUAACUUUAUUAAAGUCUUUGUUCCCAGGAAUGAUGAGAUGGUGUUUGUCUGUGGAACAAAUGCAUUUAAUCCUAUGUGCAGAUACUAUCGGCUGAAUACCUUAGAGUAUGACGGAGAGGAAAUUAGCGGUUUGGCAAGGUGCCCAUUCGACGCCAGACAAACCAACGUUGCCCUCUUUGCUGAUGGAAAAUUGUAUUCAGCUACAGUAGCAGAUUUUCUGGCAAGUGAUGCUGUUAUUUAUCGCAGCAUGGGAGAUGGAUCUGCCCUCAGAACAAUAAAAUAUGACUCUAAGUGGAUAAAAGAGCCACAUUUCCUGCAUGCCAUAGAAUAUGGGAACUACGUUUAUUUCUUCUUUCGAGAAAUUGCUGUAGAGCAUAACAAUUUAGGCAAGGCUGUGUAUUCUCGUGUAGCACGCAUAUGCAAAAAUGACAUGGGUGGUUCCCAGCGAGUCCUGGAGAAACACUGGACUUCAUUUCUAAAAGCUCGGCUCAACUGUUCUGUUCCUGGGGAUUCUUUUUUCUACUUUGAUGUUCUGCAGUCUAUCACAGACAUAAUAGAAAUCAAUGGAGUCCCUACUGUUGUCGGUGUAUUCACCACACAGCUUAACAGCAUCCCCGGUUCAGCGGUAUGUGCUUUCAGCAUGGAUGACAUUGAGAAAGUCUUCAAAGGGAGAUUUAAAGAACAAAAGACUCCAGACUCUGUUUGGACAGCUGUACCUGAAGACAAAGUACCAAAGCCAAGACCUGGCUGCUGUGCAAAACAUGGCCUAGCAGAAGCUUACAAAACCUCCAUUGAUUUCCCAGACGAAACCCUAUCCUUCAUCAAAUCCCAUCCUUUGAUGGAUUCUGCCAUUCCCUCUAUCAUUGAAGAGCCCUGGUUCACAAAGACCCGGGUCAGGUAUAGGCUGACAGCAAUUGCAGUAGACCAUUCUGCUGGACCCUAUCAGAAUUACACAGUCCUUUUUGUUGGCUCUGAAGCUGGAGUAGUACUUAAAAUCUUGGCAAAGACCAGGCCUUUUUCUUUGAAUGACAGCGUAUUACUGGAAGAGAUUGAAGCUUACAAUCAUGCAAAGUGUCAUGCAGAGAGUGAAGAGGACAGAAAAGUCAUUUCCCUUCAGCUGGAUAAAGAACACCAUGCUGUAUUUGUGGCCUUCUCUAGCUGCGUUAUCAGAAUACCCCUCAGUCGUUGUGAGCGUCAUGGAUCAUGUAAAAAGUCUUGUAUUGCUUCCCGAGAUCCAUACUGUGGCUGGCUAGACCAUGGGACAUGUGGAAGAGUGAAACCUGGCAUGUUGUUCUCUUUGUUUGUUUCAUACAACCACAGCACUGGAGGAUAUGAGCAAGAUGUAGAAUUUGGCAAUACAGGACAGCUUGGGGACUGCCAUGAAAUUUUGCCUACUACAACUACACCAGAUUACAAAAUAUUUGGCGACCCAACAUCUGACAUGGAGUUCUCUUCAGCUUCCAUUACUACAAUGGCAAGUAUCCCAGUUAUAUCACCUAAAGUGAUUGGUUCCUGGAAACCUAAAGUGACUGGCUCUCGGAAAUUUGUAGUUCAAGAUGACCCAAACACUUCUGAUUAUUCUGAUCCAUUAUCAGGUGUCCCAAAGGGUGUAAGGUGGGAAGUGCAGUCAGGAGAGUCCAACCAAAUGGUACACAUGAAUGUUCUGAUCACUUGCGUCUUUGCUGCUUUUGUCCUGGGAGCCUUUAUUGCAGGAGUGGCUGUUUACUGUUACCGAGAUAUAUUUGUACGGAAAUCCAGAAAAAUACACAAGGAUGCUGAAUCGGCUCAGUCCUGUACAGACUCCAGUGGCAGUUUCGCUAAGCUGAAUGGGUUGUUUGACAGUCCUGUCAAGGAAUAUCAGCAAAAUAUUGAUUCGCCCAAACUGUAUACAAAUCUGUUGACUAGCAGAAAAGAAUUGCCACCAAACGGUGAUACAAAGUCCAUGAUAAUGGACCACAGAGGACAGCCUCCAGAAUUAGCUGCACUUCCGACUCCUGAAUCCACACCAGUACUUCAACAAAAGACACUGCAAGCUAUGAAAAGUCAGUCAGAGAAGACACAUAACAAUCUGAAUGCUUCAAGAAAAGAAACCCCUCUAAAAAGCCCUCAGUUUUUCCCUUCCAGUCCCCCACCUCAUUCUCCUUUAAGUCAUGGGCAUAUUCCUAGUGCUAUUGUUCUUCCCAAUGCUACCCAUGACUACAACACCUCUUUCUCAAAUUCCAAUGCACAUAAAGCAGACAAAAAGAUGCAAAACAUUGAUCACCCUCUCACUAAACCAUCAAGCAAAAGAGACCACAGGCGAUCUGUUGAUUCCAGAAACACCCUGAAUGAUUUUCUUAAACAUUUAAAUGAAACUACUAGUAAUCCCAAAGCAAUUAUGGGAGACAUUCAAGUGGCUCACCAGACUUUAAUGCUGGAUUCAAUGGGAAAUAUGUCUGAAAUUCCCCCUAAAGUUCCUAACAGGGAGGCAUCUUUAUACUCUCCUCCAUCUACUCUUCCCAGAAAUAGUCCAACGAAACGGGUGGAUGUCCCAACCACCCCAGGAGUACCAAUGACCUCUUUAGAAAGACAGAGGGGCUAUCACAAAAAUUCUUCACAAAGACAUUCAAUAUCUGCACUCCCUAAAAACUUAAACUCACCAAACGGUGUUUUGUUAUCCAGACAGCCUAGUAUUAAUCGUGGGGGGUAUAUGCCAUCUGCCACUGGCACAAAGAUGGACUACAUUCAAGGGACGCCAGUCAGCGUUCAUUUACAACCUUCUUUAUCGAGGCAGAGCAGUUAUACAAGCAACGGAACCCUUCCUCGUACAGGGAUAAAGAGGACACCAUCCAUAAAACCCGACGUACCACCAAAACCUUCAUUUGUUCCUCAAACGACUUCAGUCAGACCACUGAACAAAUACAGCUACUAGGGCUUGUGUAUUCUGUUAGAGUGUGGUAUCAGCCUACCCUGGCUGUGAGACGAUGUUGUGGGAGACUUAUAAGACAGAGACUUGCUUGUAAUUAAAGAGAACAAAGUGGCCAAAGAAACUGUCUUCACUUCAGCAACAUCUGUGUCUUGCCACACGUAGCUACUGCAAGACAUAACGUACUUGCUAAAAAAACAAACAGAAAAACAAAAGAAAGUGCUGGUCAUUACAUUUCUUUUGUUUGGAGCUAAGGAGACAUGUAGCACAACGGGGGUGGGGGCUACUUUACCGUUCUAAAUAGUGAUAAUGUACUUGGAGAAAUCUGUAAGCAAAUACUUGAAAAAUGGGUUCCAUUUUAGACUGCCAUUGUGUGGUCUUCCCAUUAAAUGUGAACAUUUUGAUAUGUAUGCAUUCACCUUGCCUCUUGCACAAAUGUCAGAAAAUGGUAAUGUCUCAAUGGAUAUCUGGGUAAAUAAGUGAUUUGCUGGAAUUCAGUCUCUGGCCCAACUGUAGCAUUCUAUUUUCCCCCCAUGCGUGGCACUUGGUUUAUGCCACAGAUAAAGCUGUGCGUGCACGUGUAUGUGAGUGUGUACCGUACACACUAGGAUGUAUUUAGAUUCCCACUGCAUCUUUUAUGCUAUGGAAUUGUUUACACUGAGCAUGACUGAACAACCAACGACUCUUCCUUCUGCAGUCCAUUGGGUUCAGUUUGGAGACAGCUAGGAAGGAACUGUGCAUCUCAGCCACCUUCCAAAGGAUAUAUACAUUGUUGAAUUAGUAACACAGUGAAAGGGUGCAAAUCUGUUAAUUCUAAAUAACUGUAUUAUGCUGCUAUUGAUUCAGAUCUGUACAUUUCAAAUCUAGUGUUUUGGGGUGGAAUGGGGGACUCUGACUGUAUUUCUACAGUUCCCCCAUCCAGUAUCUGGCCACUGUGAAUUUGAGCCCCUGUCGUUCUCAUUGUGGGCAGCUAGUAAUCAAGAACACACUAGGCAAAGCCUAUCUAAUGAUAAACCGUUAUACUUUUUUUGUUGCAUUUAAUAACGUCCUACACUCUGAUAGGCUUUUGUCUGUAGAGAGGAAGAAACAUUAAUUGGCCUGGGAGAAGCAGUCUGUGAAAACUCAACAGUAGUGCAAUCAAUAUGUUUAUGUUGUGUAAUGUAUGGAUUUUCUCCAAAGUCAUGCAGGUAAUGACAAUAUUCUGUAAAUAUUAUGUGUGAGUUUACCUGAAUCUGUGCAUUUUGUGCCUUAUUCAUGCAAAUGAUAAAAGUACUAAAAUUCUGUCAAGUGCACAUCAUAUUUCCUGAGUGCCAGUUGUAAAUUCUCUCAACAAGCACCCAAAAAAAAAGAUAAAGCAGGAAUAAUUAAUGGUAAAUAAAGGCAGCCUACAAUCCAAAAAGACAGCAGCAUUAAAUCACCUUCCCAUGAUAAACAUUCCACUCCAGUUCUCCUAAGGAUCAAACAGUUAUAAUGUGAAAUCAAAUGAGGUUUCUAGGGUAAUGGAACACCUGCUGAAGUUGUGUAAGCCAUUUAGUAGGUUUUACAGUAUCUACUUGCAGCUGAUGUUCACCACAGAUGGCUAUUUUAGCUUGCAAACUACACACUACCACAUUGUUUACUGAACAUAACUGUAGAAAUAACCACAGCAAAGGAAUAUUCAUGAAUUAGGGGACAAAUAACUUCAACUGGUUUCUGAGACAAUGGCGAUUUAUAUUACAUGUUAGAGGGGAGAGAGAGUUAGUCUCUGAAAACUGGAUUGCUAUUACUGAACAAAUAAUAAAGGAUAGACUUAUUCUCCCCCCUCACCCCACUUUAAGGCUGUUCUUGGUAAGGAAUUUUGAGACCUCUGAAUCCAAAAAAAAACCCCCCUCAUCUCUUCUUAAAUGCUUCAGUCUUGAAACUAAAACACUACAGAUUAAUAACUAUUAAAAAUACUCAUUUGUCAAGUGACAAGAAACCGAUUUAAAUUCAUUUUACAAAUAUUAAUACAGACUUGUGUGAAACCGAACCAUAAAUGUAUGUGAACCCUGAUAACUUUCUGUAACAUUGUGCUGCCUUGUAGAUGGUAAUGUGAGUUCUAUCAGUAUUUAUGUUGAAAUUUCUAACAUUCAACCUAGUCUUUAUUCUGUUAAUUUAAUAAUACAGAUGCUUUAUCCAUUUGUGCAAAGGUAAACACAGAUUGUAUCUUUUUUAAUGGUACGGCAUAAAAAGUAACCCUUAAACAAAGCUGCUCUAUACUAUAGAGUACUUUAACAUGUAUAGAUAUCUUGUAAACUUGUAUUGUGGAUGUGUAAAUAAUACGUUCUUUGGGUUUUUAACACCGCAUGUAAAGUCGAAAUAAAAUAUUCAGUGUACCAGAUGUCUAACUUUAUUGUUAUUGAACAUAUUUAUAUAAUGUAUUGUUUGUCUGAUUACAGUGAAGGAAGCAUUCUGCUUGCUUUUAACAGCUCCAUUAAGAAACCACAGAGACAUCCCCUGAUCAGCAUUACUGGGUAUCAUGCAGCUUGCAAAUGGCUGAUAGCAUGGCAUACAGUCACCACCAUCAUCUUUUGUGAACUUUUUUCCUCA